rnacentral:rRNA from 1 species
UACGGAGGGUGCAAGCGUUAAUCGGAAUUACUGGGCGUAAAGCGCACGCAGGUGGCUGAGAAAGUCGAUUGUGAAAGCCCUGGGCUUAACCUGGGAAUUGCAGUCGAAACUACUCGGCUAGAGUAUGGGAGAGGGUAGUGGAAUUCCCGGUGUAGCGGUGAAAUGCGUAGAGAUCCGGAGGAAGACCGGUGGCGAAGGCGGUCUGCUGGGCAGUUUCUGACACUGAGGCGCGACAGCGUGGGGAGCAAACAGG